rnacentral:rRNA from 1 species
CGCGUAGGCGGAUAUUUAAAUCAGGGGUGAAAGCCCCGGGCUCAACCUCGGAAUUGCCUUUGAUACUGGAUAUCUUGAGUUCGGGAGAGGUGAGUGGAAUGCCGAGUGUAGAGGUGAAAUUCGUAGAUAUUCGGCGGAACACCAGUGGCGAAGGCGACCUACUGGGCACCAACUGACGCUGAGGCUCGAAAGCAUGGGUAAGCAAACA